CUAAGAGUCGCAGAACGGAGUGGAGAGCAUUCGCACCUGUCUCUGUUUUGUUUCGUUUCAUUUCCCAUCGCAUAGGCUUCAAUCUCUUCGUUGCUGUGCUCAUCUCCUCACCGUUGCUGCUGGACUUGCGUGUGUGUGGGCCUAGAAAGCUCAAAUCCUUCCUCUUUCCGGUCUGAUAUUCUGCUUCUCCUUCCCAUUAAGCAGCUGAGUAGAACUCAUCUCUUAUCGUUCGGUGUAGUCAAUGAGCUGAGGAGUGGCUGUUACUACUGCACUUCUAUUUGGGAUAUUAUAGUUAACCCUGUGCCUCCAGCAGAUCAUUAAAGGGCCAUUUUGUUUUUUGUUUUUUGAAAAAGAGGAGGCAUGUUGUGAUUAUUGUUUGGGUAAAACUAUGUAUUGUAUUUUGUAAUUAUAGCCUAGUGUGCCACGCACACCAUACUUAAAUCUUAGUCUUAUUUUGUUGUUAUGUAAAUUGCGAGAAUGGAGUUAGUUUCCUUGU